AUGCUACGGAGAAUACGUUACCAUGACUUGUACAGACCGCCCUUGGCUACAUGGGAGUGAGUUGCUAAAGAAGUAGGUCGAUUAAUAUUCGGUAUGGCGCUUUCCACAUUGUGAUUCUUGACUGGAGUAAAUUCGUAACAAGGUAACCGUAGGGGAACCUGCGUUUUGAUCAUCUCCUUA
rnacentral:rRNA from 1 species